rnacentral:tRNA from 1 species
GGCGAGGGCGUCCGGCAUGAUCUUAAUUAAAUCAGAAAGUUAUAAUUGCUGUCAGCACUCAUAAUGCUGGGGUCGGCGGUUCGACUCCGCCCCUUGCUACCA